rnacentral:lncRNA from 1 species
AAAAAAAUCAAAAAAGGUAUUUUUGUACUUAAAAAGGUAUUUUUUUCUAUGCUUUUUUUUUUCUUCUUUCUUGAUGGGCGUGGGACAAGAUGGAACGGCGAAAGCAAACAAGCCGACGCCUUUGUUGUUUAGGAGAGGUGUCGCUUCCAUCGUCUCUGUUUUGGCCACUGCGCCCGUGGACGAUGGAUGAUCGAGUUUUCUAUGGUCCCGGCCAAGCAAGAGAAGUUAAAGCGAUCGAUCUCUCUAGAGAAGCGAGCGAAAAGAUCUUCCUUUCUCUAGCGUGUUCCAGAGAUUGGUUGCUGUGAAACUUCUAACAAAAUCUAGUUUUGCCGCUAGAACUAAGCUGAUCUCACUAGACAAAAUGCUGUGAUCGAUCUAAGUACUCACAGGGCAGAGAGGCUUCGAUCGCUAAGCUGCCACAAGAACUGGCGCGCUCUUCUUCAUGGGAGUUUUCUCCUCCUGGAAAUCCUCCUGCCAAAACAAUCACACUCAGCGAAGGAAGCGCAAGAACAACACACUCGAAUCGACUUACCGCGUUGUAGAUCACUCUGAUGUAAAGCGAACAGCUUGGGCACCUCGCAAACUCCUCGCCGAUCUUGAGCUCCGCCUAGAGAGAGAGCAAGGGUAAGCAACUGGAGGCGAGGCGAUCGAGCGGGCGCCGCGCCUUACCUUUGUGAUCUGGAAGAGAUCGCCGCAAGGGCAGGGAUAGGUGUAAGCCGUGAGCGAUUCGUUCCACUCCAUGUCCUCGAUCUCUACAUCGUCGUAAGACAUUGCGCCAAGAACCCUAAACUUUGGGAGGAGCCCUAAUUUUUGAAAAGGAGAGUGAGAAAAUGGAGGCCUACUGGAUGACGACGCAGCGCUUCCUCCAGCACGGGAUCGAUCCAAUCGUGAAGCGUCCAAAGCUCACGGAGGCGCUGCUAAAGCGCCCGCCAUUUCGAUUCCUCCACGACAUCGUCUCUGAGGUUUGCGGCAUUGUCUUCUCGGUUUUUCUUUUUUCUAGUUCUUUCUUUGGAGCAAUAGAAUUUCUUGGUUUCCAGGUUACGCGACGCACCGGGUUUGCAGAGGGACUCUUCGCAGCCGACGAGCUUGCUCCAUUGGAGCUUAAGGUACUUUCUUUUGUAUUUGUUUCCUCGCAUUGUUCUUUGCAUUGAAACCUCGCAUUGUUCUUUGUCAAAAUUCUAGGACAAGGACGCUAAGUUGCGUUAUCUCACGAAGAUCAUCAACUGCGUUGGCCUUACGCUAAAUGCGAACGUUCCAGUGCGUCCAGCCAAGGUAUACCUUCGUUUUUUCUUUCGUUUCUUCCAUCUUGGCCUCGAGAUUUCUACUUGGCUUUCGUACAGAUUCUGGCUGGGCUGGAACCCGAGCAAACCAACGUCUUCUUGCAGGCCAGUGAGAACUGUUGAUGCUUUGGAAAAAUAUACUAAAAACAAAAUUCUAUGAACAGAUGCUGGCUCAAGCAGCCACUACAGACAGCCAAAAAGCUGCAAAAGCUGUCUACCGCUGUUUAGCUGGAGACUUUAUGCCUUCAUCCGAUCAUAGGUACCUCCUUGUGCAAUGGUUUAGCUUUUUGAUCGCGAAGUUACUUGCAUUGCUUUACAGUGGACUCAUAUCUCGUGAAAGCGCCUCCUCGAGUCAGUCUGUAUCAUCCGAGAAGCUAAGGAGGUCCAUCUACAGUCCUUCGCCCGACGCGGCAGAGCUUUCCAACAAGACGAGGACCCAGGAAGUGGCCACACCACCACAGCCUGUGGAUGCCACCAAGGUACAAGUUAUCUAUUCGCCUGGGGCUGUGAACGAGCAAGAAGAGGAUGCUGUAGUGGAGAGCAUGGCUUCCACAGAGUUGGAUCUCAGCCACCAAGGUCAGCUUCUUCUUUUUGUGGUUUUCUAGUCGCUCAAGGAAGUGUUUGUUGCAGCUCCGAUACAAACUGAGGUUCACGGACUUGGGCAAAUUCCAGGUAGAACCAGCGGGGCUCAAACAUGGAUGAUAAAGAUGAUAAUGUCUGUGAUUCUCCUUUUUUAUUUUUCUAGCUCGAUAGAAAAAGUGUCUGAUAUUGUUCCCGCAGAUAAGAAAAGCGUCCAGGAUGAGGAAUUGUCUGAAGUGUAUACGGAGCCAAGUGGAACCAAGGUCGAGACGGACAGCAAACGCGACGAGGUGAGAGGUAUCUUUUCGUUUCUAUUCCUUCGGUACCAAGUACUCGUGCGUAGAACAGUUGCAAAAGUUACGAGAAAGCAUUCAAGCUCUGUGCCAAGCUAUAAGUCCUCUCGGAAAGUUUAUAGACUAUCUACAGGUAAUUCUUUGUCAUUUCAAUGUUACAAAGCUUCUCACACAGUUUUCCAGGAAGACGCGGAAGCUAUGGCCAAGGAGUACCAGUUCUGGAUUAUAGAACAACAAAAGCAUGGUGCGGAUCUCGAAAGGGAGCGAUUGUAAGUAGUGUUUUUUCGAGCUCCAGUGUCAGGCAACAUUGUCACCUUGUCAUAGGCGCACGGAUGAAGUUAUUCAAGCCGAGUCUAGGAAGAUACUCGAUCUGGAGGAGCAGAUCAAACGCCAAGAACAGCUCAACAAUAUAGCGAAAGCUGAGGUGCGCUCUUUCAUGCUUAUCUUUUCUCUGUUCUCAAGAAACUUUUUUAUGCCACAGAUACUCAAAAACGACGAAACCGCCAUGGCGUUACUCCAAGCAGCUUCAACAGCCAGGAGGUUAACCAGAGAGACGUGACAAAGUUGUUUUGUUAUAGUGAAUCCAUGCUUCUUUUUGUUUUUUGAGUUGACUACUGUUCUAGGCUACUACACAGUGGAAAAUGAUCCGAAAAGGCUACGUCUCCGUGAGCGAUGGCCAGAUUCACUAUCGCCGAGCAGAUCCGGAAGGGAAUUCUCUGGGAAGUUUUCUUCUUCUCCACCAGCAUCCAAGCUCAUCAAAGAUGUGGGAGCCCGUCAUGCCAUUGCUGGCAAGUCGAGGAUACCAAGCAGUGGCGAUAGACAUACCAGGCUAUGGCGAGUCCUUCCACUGCGAAGUCAGCCUCGAGACCAUCGCAAGGUACGUCUUUGAAGCGAUUCCCUUGCUAACUCUCUCGGAGCCAAGCAUUGUCGUGGGUCAUCACAUUGGAGCAGCCGUAGCUAUGCAGCUUGCGGUGGAUUUCCCGGAGAGUGUGAAGAAGCUGGCACUGUGGGGGGUCCCGAUUCUAGACGAGAGCGUGAAGAAGUUCGUGCCGGAAGCUCCAGACUUCGAGGACGAGGAUCUCAAAGCCGUGAUAAAGUUCUGGAAGAUCAGGAACAAGGUGCCGGGAAAGCCAGGCUACAAAAUGCCGCCUCACGCUCGAGCUUCGAGGCUGCUGGAGAUGCUCCAGAGCAAUCCCAGGGCGCGGGAGCUCCCUCUUCUUCUCAAAGUCGAGAGCUUGGUGGACAGAAUCACGCAGCCGACGCUUUGCAUGUGUGGCGACCACGAGCUUCUCAAAGAUGCUACCAUCAAAACGUCCAAAGAGUUUCGCAAUGGAGAGCUUUGCUUCAUCCAGGACGGUGGAAUGGACGUCCAGAUCGAGCUCCCGGAAGAAUUCGCGAGCGCUCUCGUCGGGUUUGCGUGAAAGCUCUCGCUUUUCUUCUUUAUGAAUGAAAGAAUCGUCUCUAUGUACACACCGAUCAAUAGCUAUGAACGAGCAGCCGCGUCGCUCUAGGUGGCGCAAGCGAUCUCGACGUGAUCGUCCUCUUUUCUCGAGACUUGCUCUCUCUGGAUUGAUUUUCUAUCCCUGUAGAGCGACUCGACUGCUUCCAGAUACUCCACCACCACGGUGUCUGUCCAUGGAUUUCUAAACGGGGCGUUUUGGCCUGCGACCCAGCCAAGGUGGCCUCCUUUCGGUGUCACCACGAGCAAACAAUUCCGAUUCUCCUGGACAAGGAACUCGUUUGAAAAACAUUGCUUUCCUUCCACGAGUAAAGCUCGUACCUUGAUUGCUGCACGAGGAAUGGCUCGGUUUGGAGCAAUAGGAUCGUUGGCAGCCUGGAAUGGAAGAGUUUUACGAGAUUGUCUAGAAACAAAAAUGAAAGGAACAAGACCUGGAUGCAAAACAAUGGGACUUUGACGUGCUCGAUAGAUUUCGAGCUGCUGGCAUCGGCAUAGUAUUCAUCCACUGACCUGUAGCCGAACGAAACUAUGAAAGCCAAAACACACAGUUUAAGUUCAAGUUUUUACUAAGUACUCGUUACCUCGAGUUAAUCCUUCGUCAAACUGUCUCACGGUUUUUGCAUUGGCAGCCAGAGGAAUGUUGUAUUCACCACCGAUCUCUUCAAACAAGGCCGCGUGCCUGCAAUGCGAAUUACAGACAACGACGAAGGAAACUCAACGCUCGUGUGACUUUACUUUCUAAAGAUUGUCCGAAGGCUCGUUGCGAGGCUCUUGUCGUAGAUGUUGUUGAAACCUUUGCGAAAGUCCUCGUCUGCAACCACAAGAUCAAAAGGAUUGCACAGGGACACUGCGCCACUGAGUAUACAAUUUUCUCCCUCCUGCCAAUUACAAACCAAGUCGUGUAAACCAAGUCGGAAAGUUUGUGCUUGACGACACGAACCUGGCCGAGAUAACGCACUAAAAUGUUGGCCCCCAGCGACCAUCCGACCGCAUAGAUCCUCGACUCGGGGAAACGAUACGCCACAAAUCUCACGACUUGUCUCAAAUCUUCUGUGAAAGAAGCUGAGUAGAACUACGAACGAAAGAGAAGAAGAAUCAAAUAACCACAAAGGCAUUUCGUUCCUCUUUGGUACCUUUGGAGACGUAACUGGACUGUCACUACAGCCACGGCUGUUGAAUACCACCGUGUGCCAUCCAAUGUUUCGAACUCUUGAAACCAAGUAUUUCACGUACGAGUCAUGGCUUCCUCCAGUUAGUCCUGGCUGAGGAGAGCAAAGAAGUCCGUGAGAACACGAAGAAAUACGUAGCAAACUCUUGAAGAAAAAACAUAGAACUCCAAGGAAAAAACUAACGAAGAACUACGUGAUUCUCGAAGAAACAACGAAGAACUCUUAUCGAGAACACGAAGAACGAGAAAAACUACUUGGCAAACUCUAGAAAGAACGAAGAACUACGUGGCUCUCGAAGAAACAACGAGAAAAACUACUUGGCAAGCUCGACGUGGUUCUCGAAGAAACAACGAAGAACUCUUCUCGAGAACGAUGGAAAAGAAAGAGCUCCAACCAUGCAAAGCAUGCAAGAAAAGAAGGAAAAAACUAUAACUCUACGAGAGAGAAGUGUUCUUACCAGGAAGAGGAGAACUGGAGCAUCGGAUGGAAGCUUUUCUCUCCACUUGGCGGCGUCGCGAUCCUCGCCCAUGACCGGCCAGUCCAGCGCCACAGUGCCGCCAUCGAUCAUCCGCAAGCACUCCCUCCGGAACCUCAUCUUGGGCCGAUGGCGGUAUAAUGCCGCGAAGACGGUCUCCACAUGCCGGUUGCUGCCAAUCACCGGGAACGCGCGGUACUUGCCCCUCUUCACCGUGGGCAUGUUGUGGAGGAUCUCGCUGCGCAGCUCCCCAUCCCCGGAAACAAUCUCCAGAUCGUCCCUGGGCGCCAUGAACAGCGUCCGCAAUGGCUGCCGCCCUACGCCCCCGCGGCGCCCCCGCGAGAAAAGAACGAUCGAAAUCCGGGAGCCAAGGAAGGAAUCCGCGGAGGAAUGGAAUGGUGGAGCCCUAGCGCUGCUUAGAUUCCUGGGCAGCGAAGAACACGCCAGAGAAGCGAAUCCCCGCGAAUAUGCCUCCAUCCUUCCUUCCCCUAGUGCUAGCACGCCUGGCAUCAACCAAAACCAAUGUACCGCGCGGCAUUUAUCCCCGCGGUCCAUCGAGCCGCGCGGUAGUUAGUCCGUGACGCGCGGCAAUUUUCUCGGACGGUAGACCGAGCCGGGCGGUAUGUAUUCGCGACGCGCGGCACAUAUAGGGUGUGACGCGCGGCAUAUAUCCUAGCAUUACAUGUGGUGGGAAUGGGUCACAAGGAUCAAGUCGUGCGGUAGCGAUCUCCGCAAGCUCAGAGCCAUCGAUUCCCAUCUCCGCGCGAGCCCCUUUGCGAGCGACUCCAGGAUCUUGGGCCCUUUGAUCGACGCGUAUGGAAAAUGUCGGUGUGUGGAGGAUGCCCGCGCGGUGUUUGAUCGGAUUCCAGAGCCGGAGCCCAGCGCCAGGAAGUGUCUGUUUCAAUCGUAUGCGCUCAAUGGGUAUGCGCGAGAGGCGAAGAAGAUGUUCGAUUCGAUGCCGGAGAGGAGUUCUUCUUGCUGGAUCUCGCUGGUUCAAGCAUUUACCAAGAGCGGGCAUUCUAAGUUGGCGAAAGCCGCGUUUGAGAGGAUGGCGUAUCACAGCGUCAUAGCUUCGACGGCAAUGUUAGUGGCUUCCACUCAAAUGGGAGACUUCCAAAACUCCAGGAGAGUUUUCGAGUUGAUGCGGCUGAGAGACGUCGUGUGCUGGACUGCGCUGCUUCAAGCACAUACCCGAUGCGGGCAUCUUGACGCCUCCUGCGAGUUCUUCGAUCGAAUGCCGCAGCGGAACUUCUUCUCCUGGACUGUGAUGGUGAAGGCAUUUGCACUAGCGAGACACAUCGAACACGCGAAAUCGUUCUUCGAUCAAAUGCCGGAGCGAGAUCUCAUGUGCUGGAACGUCCUACUGCUCGCAUUUGCCGAGCGGCGGCACCUUGAAGAAGCUCGCGAGAUGUUCCAGCGGCUUCCACGCACUGAUCUCGUCUCCUGGAACUGCCUCAUCCAAGCCCUUGUCGAGUCGGGGAACCGAGCCGAGGCCCGCCACCUUUUCGACACACUCCCAGAGCACAACGUCGUCUCGUAUAGCCUCCUCGUCCUGGCCCAUGCACACGCAAAGGAACUCGACCAGGCCAAGGUGGUCUUCGACGCUAUGCCCGAGAAGGACGUGGUUGCCAAGACGGCCAUGGUACAGGCCUAUGCCAAGCAAGGCCAAAUGCUGCAAGCCACGGAAGUCUUCCACACCAUCCCGGUUCGCGACCGCGAUGACAAAUGCUCCACGACGAUGGUGGUGGCGUACGCCGAGAACGGGCAGCUCCAAGAAGCCCAGGCGGUGUUUGACGAGAGCCCCCAAUCGCCCAACGUGAUCGGCUGGACAGCGCUGAUAGCCGGGUAUGCCCAAGUCGGGCAUAUCGACAAGGCCGUGAAUCUCUUCCGGGCUAUGGAGCUCGACGGCCAGGACCCCGACGAGUUUGCUCUGUCCGCCAUCCUGGCCGCGUGUAGCCGAGGUGGGAAGGUCCGAGAGAGCCUCGAGAACUUCUGGUCCAUGAAUUAUGAUCGAGGGAUGGAGCCGGCGCUGGAGCACUACAAGUGCAUGGUGGAUGUUUUAGCUCGGUCCGGGCAGCUGCGAGAGGCCGAGGAUCUCAUCCAGAGCAUGCCAGUUCUUCCGGAUCAUAUCACCUGGAAGACGCUCCUGGGUGGCUGCUCGACUCACGGGGAUUUGUCCCGCGGAGAGAAAGCCGCCACUGAGGUGCUUGAGCUCAACCAGAAGAAGGCCGGGACGUACGUCCUGCUCUCCAACAUGCUAGCGAUCAAGGAGCGGCAGCAGCGGCAUCUGGAGAUCAUGGCAUGACAGACGCUCUUAAAAGUCCUGGCAUUGGUACGAGAGGAUGUUCAGAUGCUCGGACUUUCAGCCAAGGAUAAGAUGUCCUGACCUCCUUCACGAGCUUGGAGCAGACUCCUCCGUCCACAGAGUAAAAUCUUGACUCUUGGAAGCGACGAGAAAGGCACGUCUCUUCAGGCGCCUGGAACUACUUUCGUGGCGUUGCUCAGCUGCCAGAGCACUAGUAGAGAGGACUACCCCAGCACUUUGUCAAACGAUUCGGGGCUUGGACCUUGCUGACGUAGAACGAGGAGAUGACGCUGCAAAGCAGUGCAGCCGAUCAUUGUAGAGAACGAAACCAGCUCAAAAGACUCACACGGAGCACCUUAUCCUUUGCUGUCCCAGGCCCGAGAACGUCACCAGUGAUUGGACAGGGGCCACGAAAACAAAGUGCCUGAAGAACGACAGAGCCGGACGAAGUUAAAGUGGAAGAAAUCACAAGCACGGUUGAGCCACCAUACCAUACUGUCACUCUUUGAGCUCCCAGCCUCUUACAUUGUCCCCGGGGUCGUAGUUCGUGUAGAGCUUAAACUCGUUCCCGAGCUUGUGCUUGUGAGCCGGCCUGAAGCCGCACGGCUGUACUCCCAGGAGGAAGAAAGCCCGUUCUUGCUGCACCGAUCCUGAGCACCCAAAUACACCGAAUGAGCCCAGGACGCGAGUACACGAAAAGCAAAAGUCCCAUCUCAUGGGGGUGACGAAGCUUGCAUCAAACCUGUCAACAAGAGGACUGGACUUUUCUGAUGGUCCUCGGACAGGAACUGCACUGCCCGGGUGGUCUUCUCAAGGCACUCCUCGCUCUGCAAAAGAAAAAGGUUAAAGAGCAACAACGUUGAGGUGAUGGUCACUCUAGCUCCAUCCAUUUCUGUCUCUUUUUCUCUCUCUCUCUCGCUUUUUCUUACAAGGUAGGGAGGAUCAGCAGCGACGACGUAGAAACGGUGCUCGAAAUGUCUAGGCAAAUCCUCCGGAUGGUUGUAGUCGUAGUAAGUGAAGUCACUGCCAUGACGAGCGAAACGACGAUCGUAUUCGAAGAGAUGCGCUCUAAUGCCUGGAUAGAUCUUCUGCGCACAUCGAUCCAGCACAGCUGAGCGUAGAAAAACACAAAAGAGAACAAAAGAACAACAAGGAAAAAACAAACAGAGCGUUUCAAUCUCCUCGAACUUCGUACCUUGAGCAUCGUAUAGAGCGACGGGCAUGCGAUGCACGCUACCGAGCGCUCUGGCGCAUCGCCAAUCACCCUAACGACCUCCUCGGCCACGAUCCGAGCGGUAAAAUCAUCGUACCAGAACUGGCUCAAGCCCCAAUCCUCGCCAACGCUACCCUCGCCGCCGUCGCCAGCACCGCCGCAAUCCCUCUCCCGCAUGAAAUCCCGCAAAGCCUCCAGCGCGUGGGCGCUGAGCGCCGGAGGAGAAUCGUCCUCCACCCCCGCCAUAAACCCUAAAAUGCCCCACGCUUAGAGAAUAUUCCCCAAUUUAAAAUGGCCAGCCCUAACCCUAACCGCGGAGUUUUUAUCGCAUUUAGGUGGGGGUCGGCUGACGUGGACGAGGCAAGAACAACGAAGAGGGAUCUCCAUUCCUUCCAGGAAGAAAGACUUCUUCUUCUCUAUCUCUCUCUCUCUCUCUCUCUCUCGCUCGCUCUCGCUCGCAGCUCCAAUCUUCCUCCCCAAUUACAAUUCCGCGAGGAGGAGCAAUGAUCUCAUAGAUUUCCCCUCACUUCCUCUCUCGCGAGUCGCGCCUACCAUGCCGGUGAAGAAGAGCCUCCGCCCAAGUCUCAAGCUCCCCAUCCCAGCGCGCGACGCCGGCUUCGCCAAGCCUCCACUCCCACUCCCACUGCCGCAGCAAUCCAAUCCUCUCGGCAGCGCCACCAGCAGGGACGUCCUCCUCGAGGAUCUGGAGCGCCUGGAGAUCCUCGGCCAUGGCAGCGGCGGCAAGGUCUACAAGGCGCGCCACCGCAUCACCGGCACCCUCUACGCGCUCAAGAUCAUCCAGGAGAAGCACGACCCGGCGGUGCGCAAGCUCAUCGUCCGCGAGAUCGAGAUCACGCGCCGCUUCUCCGCCAGAUCCCCCUACGUGGUCCAGUGCUACGGCGUCUUCGAGCGCGGCGGCGAGAUCUCGCUGGUGCUCGAGUUCAUGGACGGAGGUACGCUCGCCAACGUCCUGGCCGCCCGCAAGACCAUCGACGAGAGGUUCCUGGCGAGAGUGACGCGCCAGGCGCUCAAGGGUCUCAUGUACCUCCACGCCAACAAGAUCGUCCACCGCGACAUCAAGCCCUCCAAUCUGCUGCUCAACCGGAAGAACGAGGUGAAGAUCGCGGACUUUGGAGUGAGCACCCAGCUCGCGCACACUCUCGCCCAGUGCAACUCCUUCGUUGGAACCUGCGCCUACAUGAGCCCCGAGAGAUUCGACCCGGAUGGUCACGGCGGCCACUACGACUCCUCCGCGGAUAUCUGGAGCCUCGGCCUCACGCUGCUCGAGUGCGCCAUUGGCUACUUCCCCUGCGUCGCCCCCGGCCAGAAGCCCGACUGGCCGACGCUCGUCUGGGCGAUUUGCCUCGGGGAUCCUCCCUCGCCACCCCCGGACGCGUCGCCGGAGUUCAAGAGCUUCAUCCGGAGCUGCCUCCAGAAGAAUUCCUCGCAGCGCCCGUCCGCCGCCAGGCUGCUCCACCACCCUUUCCUGCUCAAGUCGGACGACGAGGUCGCGCAGCUCCGGCCCCUCAUCAGCUCCUUGAGGCUGGUCUCGUCGUCCUCGACUUCGUCUUCGCAGCCCCUGGGUGUUCCUGCUCGGUUCGGCCACCCGAAGUGAAUAAAAAUCCAACCUUUACUGGUCUCGCUGGUCCUGCCGUCUCGAUCCAGUAUAGGAGCACUCGUCCGGAUCAUAACUAGCUGAUAACGCUCUCGUACGUAGCUAUCCAUCCAUCCUCAGUUGCUGUGUUGAUCAGAGGUGGGAGUAGUUGCGCUGGAUCUUUCUGGCGAGCAUACCCCCUGCUGCUGCUCCGGCUCUGCGUUGUCUGACCGGGGAGUUGCGACGAGAUCUUUCCCGCUUCUGCGACCAAACAACGAGUGCCCGAUAUGGGACGCUGUCCUCUCGGCCUGCUUCACCACACCCCUGGCCCUGUCCCUUAUUCUCAUUGAUCGCCGGCCGGGGGAGACCUCCUGCGAUUCAGCGUCGUCCAGCCCGUCACUGGCUCGCAUUGAAUCCUCUGCCAGCUUUGGUGUUGGAACCUGACUGUUGGUGCCAGUUUGGACGCCAGAAGGGGUGGGAGUCAAGUCGGUUCUCGCGUCGCUUGGUUUAGCAGCGGCCUUAUCUGGUAAAGACAAUGCUGGCGUCGAAUCUUCCGGAGCUGGAGCUGGAGAAGUCACAGCAGAGUCCGUGUCGAUAACUGUUCGCAGCUUCAUCUGUCCUCCUUUCUCGCUGAUGCUAACCAGCUCUCCGGAUACGAGCUUUUUAUCUCGGGGUCCACGGUGGCUCCACUUCCAGAACCUCGCCUUCCCCCCGGGUUGGCCGGAUUUGUCACCCUCGCUGUCACUAGAUUCGGACUCUCGCUCGAGGCUGCCACUGAAGAGAGUAUUGUCUGGCAACUCAACAUCUUCAUCGAGCUUCCUUCCUUUUCUACCACGCCACUUCUUUUGCACUGCCUUUCCGGGCCUCAUUAUAGAAAAUAUUCCCGAGGCACUCACGCCAGUGUCAAUGAUUUCGUAAUGAUCCAAGCCAAGUGAAUCAGGUAAAGAUUCAUCUCCAUCUGUAGUCAGCCUUGUACUAGGCGAUACCUCCUGCAGCAAGGUAUCAACAUCAUGAAUAAAACCACCACUAUCAUCGUCAUCACCACAGAAUUUACCACUUCGAGUUGACAAUCGGGUGCUUCCUCAACCGUAAUUGCGAAAGUGAUGCGCCCAGUUUUUACGCCUUUAAGGGGCAAGCAAACUUCAUGCCGAUCGCCGCCUCUAAACUUCGCCAGUAACACGUCGCAAUACCUGUUCAUAAAGUAGCGCCAUCAAUCACACAAGCGUCUCAUAAUCCCAAACUAGAAAUGCACAAACCCGAGAUUGUCGUCCCGAAAGAGAUCUUUGUCCCUCACGUGAAACAUCAUACGGUUUUGGAUCUCCCAGCUUCUUAUGGGUAAACGAAAUACUUCUCUCCACUUGGGAUUGAGAGUCUUCCACUUUAUUGACGUUUUAAAACGAUUAGUGUUCAGUACUCCUUUCACGAAAGGAUCCGCCAAUCCUGAACGAAAAGCAAAAAGCAAAGAAAAGGUUCAGAAAUAAAAUCCAUGAAUAUUAGCUUACCAUUGACAUCAGCCGGUUUUAAUUGUGUUGCUUCAAGGAUUUCAACUACAGCAACAGCAACCGGAGGCGCGGACUCCGCUGCAAACAAGGCGAUCAUAAGCCUAUCACACAGCUUGAAUGAGGUAAUUACCACUUGGAAGAGUUGCGUACUCGGAUGUUGCCCAACUAUUUGCAAUCUUUUCGACAUUUAUCACCAGCAUGUUUGGCUAUAAAAACCAAUGAUCAUCAAAAUCAAACUCGUGCAUAACCUUCUAACCUUCACGACCGAGUCCUCUAGCGCAUCCAUCAGCAUCGUGUCCUAUUCAGAACAAAGAAAAAAGCAAAAAGCUUAUCACAAACAAAACAAAAGAGUGACAGAUUAUCUACCAGCCAGCUUGCGAUUCCAGGAAGCUCAGCCAUGUCCAUCCCAUACGUCGAGAGCGGCCGUGCUUCGAUCUGGACGUAAGGCGCACUCUCGAAGCUGAUCCGGAGACGACUAACAAAUGGCCAUCCCCCAUGAAACCUCACUCCAAGACGAACCUUCUCAAAACAAAACAAAAGUUUUCUACAAACAUUCAGCCAAAAGCACCAGACAAAUACCUUUCCUUCAAUAUGUAGCUUCGAGAUAUGUAACUUUGUCCAGAGCCCUCCAAGGCGCUUUCUCAGCUGAACAGAGAGCACCGCGCUCAUAUCAUCAGCAGCCACAAAUUCCAUAAUAGUUUCAAAGACCUGAAAGAAAUACAUGAAAGUUUAGGAGAAAGAAGUCUAAAAACUCGCAAGAAACAUUACCACGUCGUCAUCCGUCCCAGAAGGAUCCAGAGCUCGCAUGCCCGCAAACAUGGGUGGAUUUCUUCCCAGAGCAAAGCUUUGCAGUACACCAUCUUGCUGCCAGUAGAGUGGAGAAAAACGUGACCUCCUCCGAAAAAAUUCAACACCAAACGAAGAACAUACAUACCACUGUCCAGGGCUUGUACUUGGCCAGGAAAAACGGCAUGAGAGGAGCUAGAAAAUCCUGAGACGCAAACUUCUCCAGGAAAACUGGCCAUGCUUUUGCGACAGUCUCGUUGAGCCACCGGACACUCUCAAAGUCUGAUAACAACUGCAGCACGCUGCUGAGCUCCAAUCCGACAACACUGGAUCCACCAUCAAUCAGCACAUACCUGUUUUUGAAACGCGUGCUUUCGCUCCUCGUGGCGAAUCCGCCGGAGCCACUUCUCGCGAUGGCGUCUCUCAAUCUAGAAAUCCAAAAUUCUAUCUUAGAAAAAACAAUUCCAAGAGCGACCAGCCAGCCACUUACGUGAAAGAGAAAGAUGAAGCCAACGACAGGGACGAUCGCGUAAUUUAUCCCCAGGAGCGAAAGAAUCCACACCACAACGAGGACCAAUGCGGCGUGGAGAAUGAAAGGCCAAUGGAGCAGCCAAUGGAAAACCUGAUCCAUCCUCGCGCCGUCGCCGCUGCUACUAUCGCCGCCGCGCGCCUCGGAUUCAGCUCCUCGAUCGCCCAUAGCUGCCGAUCCUAGGGUUUCCUCCCCUGAGAAUUCUUGCAUCCCAAAUGUCGGUGUCCCGUCUCCUUUAUCCGCGACCCCAGCCGCUUUCCCCUGUUCACGAUCCUCCCCCAUGGGAAAACGAGUGAGAAGAUCGUGCCUGGCGUUGCCACGUACAGGUUUAAGGAAGAAAAACUUUCCAGCGGAUAUUCUCUACAUUUGUCAGAGCAUAUUCGCAGAACAGGAAUAUUCUGUAACGGGAAUCUGCUAGAUUUAGACGAGAAUAGCUUCCAUUUUAAAUUGCGUGUAACAUGUUUGAGAGGAUGACGAACUUGGCGCUCUCCCUGGGAUGCAAACGCCCAAAUUCUCUCGCGGCUCUGCCCGCUCUCCCCUGCUCGCUCUGGCGCUCGCAAGCGCUGAGGAAGCUCGUCCAUGACGCGGCGCGAGCUUUGAGAUCCUCGCUGCUCGCCAGGAACUCCUCGGCCUCCUCGAUCCACCCGGUGCGUCCCAGCAGAUCCAUCAAGCACAGCUUGUGCUCGAUGCUCGGCUGCAUCCCCUGGUCUCUCACCAUUGUGCUAAACACGCUGCCAGCGGCGUCCACCAGGCCCGAGUGGCUGCAAGCCUGAAGGAUGCUGGUGAGAGUAACGUCGUCGGCUUCCACGCCUUCCAAGCUCAUCCGCCAGACCAGCUCCACUGCCUCGGCUCCAUGGCCGUGCCGAGCGUACGCCGUGACCAUCGACGUCCAGGAGAUCACGCUCCUGCUCUUGAUCCCCUCGAAGACGUUCCUGGAUUCCACCAAGUUGCCGCACUUCCCAUACAUGUCGACGAGAGCGUUCUGGACGAUCAGAUCCUCGGCAAAGCCACUGGCAGCGACGUCGUAGUGCAGUUCUCUUCCCCUGGAAAUCUCUCCGAGGUUGGAACACGCCGCCAGGACGCUCGCGAAGGUGAGUCCGUCUGCUUUCGGCUUGGCCUCGUCCUGCUGCAUCUUCUCGUAGAGCAGCAAGGCCUCCUGGCUGGAUCCAGCUUGGACGUAGCCAGCUAUCAUCGCGUUCCAGGACACGAUGUUCUUCGAGCAGAGGUUGUCAAAGUUCGUCCUGGCAGUAACCACGUCUCCACACCUGGCGUACAUGUUGACGAGCGCAGUCCCUACGACUGUAUCGCCUUCGAAUCCCCGAGAGAUAAUCUGCCUGUGGACAGUUCUUCCUUCCGGUAGAAGACCCGGAGAGGAAACCGCGCUCAAAAUGCUGGCAAACGUGAAGACGUCUGCCUCAAUCCCCUCCAAGUUCAUCCGGCGAUAGACUUUGAUGGCCUCCAGGUCUUGUCCAUGCUGAGCGUGUGCUGCUAUCAAGGCGCUCCAGGAGACCACGUCCCUGUCUACCGUGCCCGUAAAAACUCCCUGUGCAUCCUCGAGGCUUCCACACCUUGCGUACAUGGUUACGAGUGCAUUGCGCACCAUGGUAACCGAUUCCAGUCCAGCUUCCACCGUCUUCCUGUGAAUUUCCCUGCCUUCUUCAAGUGCUUCUAAACUCGCACAGGCCGUGAGAGCGGUAGCAAAUGUGAUGGCGUCCGGCUUCAUCUUCAUGCUCUUGAACAAGCUGAGAGCCUCCCUGAACUGUUCGUGAAGAACCUGUGCACCGAGAACUGCGUUCCACGAGACAAUGUCUCGUCUGUCCAUGCUCUCGAAAACUUUUCGUACGUCCGCCAAGCUGCCACAUUUGGAAUACAUGUUUAGCAGGGCAUUCUGUAGAAUCAAAUCCGAAACCAGCGACUUACCAAGUCGUUUGUGGAUAGCUCUGCCGGCAUCCAGCGAGCGCAAGUUUGAGCAAGCAGAGAAAAGUGUCGAGAAGGUAAACACGUCCGGUUCUCUAUCCAUGACUUUGAAGAGCUCGAGAGCAGCUUGGUUACCCCCGGUUUGAACGUAGGCCGCCAGCAUAGCGUUCCAAGUGACACGAUUCUUCGUUUCCAUCCGGUCGAAAACGUUCUUUGCGUCCGAAAUGCUGUGACACUUUGCGAACAUAUUCAGCAACGCAGUGCCCGUCACGACGUCAGGCUUAAAGCCCGCUGCUAGAAACCGCUCGUGGAUACCCCGGCCCUGAUCCAACACUCCAACCUUAGCGCAAGCACUAAACACCGCAAUGAAAGUGAAAACAUCCGGGUCUAUACCUUCCAAGUCCAUCCGCUGAAAGAGCGUGAGUGCUAGCUUUCCAUGACCCUGUUGCGUGUACGCUCCCAAGAGCGCGCUCCAGGAGCUGGAAUCUCUCACCGUCAUCCCGUCGAAAACUUUCCUCGCACUCUCCAGAUCCUUGCACUUGCCAUACAUGUUCACGAGAGAAUUCUGCAAAGUCAAGUUUGAGUCGAGACCCAUGGAAACAAUCCUUGCGUGAAGCUCCUUACCUUGGCUCAAGAGUCCCAUGCUCGAACAAGCGCUGAGAACUGUGGAGAAAGUGACAGCAUCCGGCUCGCUACCUUCCAGCAGCAUUCGAUGAUAAACACACAGAGCCUCGCGAGCGUGGCCGUGAAAGACAUACCCAGAGAUGAUCGCGUUCCAAGACACGACGUCUUUGAUCCUGAUCUUCUGGAAAACUACCCAUGCAUCGUCCAAGCUCCGGCACUUAGCGUACAUGCUCACGAGCGCAUUCUGGACGACGAGGUCGGUGUCAGCUCCACAAGCUAUAAUCCUAGCGUGAAUCUCCUUACCUCGAUCGAGAGCUCCCAUCUUAGCACAAGCGCCAAGAACCGCCGAGUACGCGAAGGCAUCUGGCUCCACUCUCUCGCCGGCCAUCGCGCGGAAGAAGAAAUCCACCGCAUCGCCGUGGCGAUGGUUGCGCGUGUAGGCGCCGAUCAUGAGCGUCCACGAGAAGUCGUUCUUGCGCGCCAUUUCUUGGAAAACCCUGGAUGCCUCAUCCGUGCUGCCGCAUUUCCCAUACAUCUGGAUCAACAAAUUUCCCAAGAACACAUCCCUAUCGAGCCCGUGGUCGCGGAUCUUGGCAUGGAUGCGCCGGCCAUCGCUCAAGACCCUGCAUUCUCGGAGAAGAGCCACUAGGGUUUCGCAAUUCUUCCCGCGAGGAUCCCUGACCGCCACAAAGCCGCCGCGAGCAUCCAUUGGAGGACACCAUUCGAAGAUCACACAAUGACAGAGUAGAAUAAAUCACACUGAUCUUCUUUUAGGGUUCUUAGCUAAGGUGGGUAGAAAAACAAUCCGUACAACCCAACAACCUAAUCCGUACGUCAAUCAAUCAAUCAAGCCGGUUUGCGCCCACACCGCGUUUCUCACUCGCCUCAAAUCCCUGCCCUUGAGCGUCCUGCCCGCGCCCUCCAGAACCGAGAAGGCGACCAUGGAGCUAGUGCGAAUUCGCGCCGCGUCUUGCCUCGCAGCUAGCUUGUGCGGCGGAAUCCACUCGUGGUUCUCCUUCUCCUCCUCGUCGGCGAGCUCCAGCUCCAGCUCGGGCGAUCCCGCGCUCUUGCGCUUCUGCUGGAGGAUCUUGGUCCAAUCGGGCACAUUGAUGGGGUCGGCGCGCUGGAUUGUCGAUCGCCGCGAAGAAUUGGGAGAUGGGCUCGCAAGAUUCCCAUUUCCCUCCCAGUUGGCCGACAUCCACGCCCGGAACAAUCGAUUGCUCUCGUGCCGCCGCAAUUGAUCGUCCCACUGGAUCUCCUCCGGGUACAUCACCGCCCACACUUCCUCCUCGAUCAAUUCACUGGUCGAAUCCCCCGAGCCCGCAGGACUGGCGUUGAGCCCCAAGAGCUUCUCCCGCCGUGAUCCCACGCACGAUCCGAUCUUCUUGCCGCGCUGCUCCCGGAUCAAGCACGUCAGAUUGCUCGAAAUGCGCUCCCGCUGCCUGGAGAUCAUCAUCUGUGCGCUCCUUGGGCGUGUGAGAAUCGAUCCACCCAAAUCGUUUGUGUGAGGAUCGCGUCUGCGUGACACAGGGAAUUCAAUUCGCUAUCAAAACCCGCGAUCCCAGUCACGUCCCCCAAGCAUUCGAUUGAUCGAUUCGAUCGAUCCCUAAAAUUUUUCUUGCCGACAGAGAGGAGAGGGAGAGAGAGGGGUAU